GGUCUUGGGGGCGGGGAAGCAGCCGUGAGCCCGCACGCCCAGCAUUCCCGUUACGUCAUGGCGCUAGUGAAACGAGCCUUGCGCUGUGCAUUGUGGGAAGGGCUGCGGGUCCCGCAGGAGCAGAGAGCCCCUGCCCCGGAGCGCUUCCAAGCUAAGCGUGGGGCUCGCUGCGGCAGGGCGGGGAGGCGGUCACACGGUGACAGCGCCAGCCGGAGGGCGGUGUACUAGGCAAGGGCAGCAGGUAGGCAGCGUGCCCUGAGCAGGUGUCCAGGAGUGAGUGUCUGGAGGGUGGCCUGCUGUCUUCAUGCAGUUUUACAAUGAAAGGCAGAUGGUAGAAGAUGCAGUUCUAUUCAUCUUGGCUCUUCUGGGCAUAUAUGGCUGUGGGUUUCUGCUAUGGUGGUGCAAAUUUAGACAAGACACUGAUGAAAUGGUGGGCCGAGUUCUAUCCCAAUAACGAAGCUGUUGCCAGUAAUAUUGAGAAAUGUGUUUUUUACAAUUCCAAGAAUAGAAAAUAAGCCAAGGGCAGUAAAAGUGGUAAUGGGACCACCAAGGAUUAUAGAAUUCAUGGCACAAAAUCAUAUGGGUAGAAUGCUCAUUACUGAUGCCCAUAAAUAUAUAUAUAUUUUUGAUGCUCAGGGCAAAGGAAAUUUAAUGGCCCAAAGAUCUGGUGAAAAUUCACCACAACCUUUAGGGUUUACAUGGAAAUCACAUGAAGGGAUAGGCACAAUACACAGUAGAGCAGUAAGAGAAGGACACUGGCAGUGUAUAAUAAUAGAAGGAUUAAAAAAAAAUUGCAUGCUCACCUAAUCUUUUGAUAAAUCCAGAAAGAAUGAGUUCAGAUAUGAAAAUAUAAUGGAUUAAGCGCAACAAAACAGCUACUGUCAAUAGUAUUCAAAAUUGUACUUUCACAGUUCCAAAUAAUAAGCAAUAAUGGUUGUAAUGGGCCCAUAAAAUUAUAGAGUUGAUUGCACAAAAUUUGAAAGGUAGAACACGUGACCCACAAUGCUCAAAUGACAUAUUACAUAUGUUUCUCAAGUUUGGUUAUUACAUUUUAUAACCCAUCACAAUUAUUAUGCUGUGCCUAAACCUUCAGUAUGUGAAUGGGAUGCUACUGGCAAUACAAGUAAAAUAUGGGGGAAAGGAGUAAGGACUGGGCAAUGUGCAAUAUAGAUCUACAAAAAUUGUAUGUUCAUAUAAUUUCACAAUACAUCCAGACCAGAAUUCUCCAUGCGCUCUUAUAGCAUGGCAUGUCCCUAAAUGGAGUGCAAAAAGUAAAGAAACAAAUACUUAUACAAUGGGCUCAUAAUCUUAAUAAUAAAACAGAAGUUGAAUUUGGGAUCACUGAUUCAUGAGGAGAAAUUAGUAAAAUAGAUAUUCAAUGUGAAUUACAGACCAAAGUUAUAUUUAGAAAUCAAUUAAAAUGACAAGUACCUUGGUAUACACAUAUAAUAAAAGACACUGAGUGUAAGGAAGAAAGUAAAAGCCAACUCUUAUUUCACUAUUGGCGUGAAGGUAGUAUGACCAUAACAAAGGCGUGGAAGUGGACUAUGGAGAAUGACUGGCCCUCAAAUUAAUUACACUUUUACUAUUUUGUGGACACCCAAACCUGAAUCAAUUGGUGUUGACCCAUAUAUAGUAAAGGAAGAUAAAAGAAACAAAUAAUCGACCCCACUUACUCUCUAAAGAAAGUAAUGGCAGUUUUAGCUUUCUUGCCAAAAACCACAAUGCAGUAAAUAUAUUGAACUUCUAUUUGUAGGAUGGAAAAGAUGGAUGGAAACCCACUUUUAUUAAAAGCUCCUAUAAAUAGAAAGAAAGAAAAGAAGUUUGAUGGAUACAAUGUUGGGAGGAACUGGUACAGGGCUUGGAGUACUAAACAGUAUAGAUGAGGAGGUAUUGGCUCAUCAGUUAAAUGCAGUAGGACAACACUUAGGAGCUUUAUCUAAAUCUUUGAUAACAUCUUUGAAUGACAUAAGUACCAGCCAUCACCUCACCGCCAGUUUGCUCCCGGGCUGGGAGAAGUUGCAAAACGCUGAUCAUAUAGCCAUACUAAACACAGUAGAAGUAUUGCAAAGCAGUGAAUCUAUGGCAUUGGCUUGCAUAAAAGCACAAACAUGGACCAGUGAUGUAGUAAAAGAUAUUAUAUGAGAUUGAAUGAGUGGUAUCUUACCUUUCGAAAUAAGUCUAAUAUGGAAGCGUACCAUCAAAGCUGAACAAAAGUCAUAUUCUUGGUGGAAAAUGGUAAACUUUACAUAUAAUCCACAAGUAAAUCAAAUUACUACAUUUAUAGUCAAUGUCUGAAGCCUGAACUGAAUGGAUAUCUCCUAUUGUAGCACUAGGGUUAAAUGUUAAUGCUAGUGUAAUGCAAACAGUAGAACACAAAUUAUGGGCCAUAAAACAGAAUAAUACGUGGAAAACUGUGGAACUUGAGGCUUGUAUGGAAGAACGAGGAAUGGGAUAUAUUUGUAAUAGUGAUGCAAUCCAGCCAUAUGAUGUACAUUUAAAUGAAGGAAAAUGUCUAUCAAUUAAACCCUUUUCUCUUUAAUGGAUCAAUCUUUGUGUACAUUGGAAAUAAAUGUGUGUUACAAGUUGGUGUACAUAUGUACGUUAUUAACUUUAAACAAUAUAAUUCAAUCCUUCUGAGAAUAAAUGUUUUUGUAAUAUCACCUCACUGAUUGGUUGCGAUUUCAAUUUCACACAACCUGAAAUUGAAAAUGAAGAAAUUAAGGAUCAAUAUCAGAUAUGUGAAAGGAUCACCCCAAUACCUUUUGGAGUAGAUAUAAGUUUAGUUAAGCAAUUAAUGGACAUCCUGAAUUGUGAAAAGGCCCAGGAAAAUGCACAAAGAGUUAUGAUUAUUGUCUCCACAAGUGUGACUAAAGUGAGAAUCAAGAGUAGUGAGGAAUUAUGCCAGUACGAAGACAGGUCCGCUCAGUCUCCUGAAAAUGAGAGCCUUGAGCCAACACUGGACAAGACCACACACUCAUUGGACUCAAAUAAAAUGCUGGAUUGAUAAAGGAGUGUACAACCCGGCAGGAGAAGAUUGAAUCAAAAGAUUUUUGCUUUAGCUGCUCUGAAAAACUCUUGCAGCACCUUGGAUAGAGAUCUACAGGAAAACUGAAAAAGGGGUUUAAAAACACUGUGAAAAUUACCUCUCCAGAUUUGAAUAGUAAUGGUGGUGACAGUAUCAUAAUGCCUUAGUGUGCAUAAAAAUGUAGCUAGUUUAAUAAUUAGGUUUUUAAAUAUGUAAUGAUACUUUAUAGUUAGAAGUCCAAAAUUGCCACUGCAAUUAUUCUCUAUUAGAAAAUAUCACAAUGGAGGACAUAGACUACAUUGACCAACUGCAGAUAAACAGGGUGUGACGAUGCUGCCUGUGGGAGCCAGCUGAGGUCACUCAGUCAGGGUCAACUGCAAACCGAACAGGGCAAACAAACCCCAAACGCUGGUGGAUAUUCCAAUACUUAGAUUUACUAAGCCAGAACAAAACAGCUCCUGUAGUACCUCACUGGUUACUCAGAAGACCAAACAACGCAGUUCCCUUCAAGUUCCCAGCCUCGGGCCUCCAUCCAGACACACAUGUCAGAUAUGAUGAUGAUUAUUGAAAAUCUUCUCUCAUUAUAUGAAAGAAAAGGUUCUCCAACCCCAAAGGAUCAUUCACACACCCAGGUCCAAUUAUAACUUAGAUCUUACCCAAAAUACACACUGAUAGCCAAUUCUUAUCAACUAAGCUAAAGUUUAUUAAAAAAGAAAAGAGAGAGAGUGUUGGUUAAAAGAUCAAUAUACAUACAGACUUGAAUUCAAUUCUUGAGGUUCAGAUAUAUAGCAGAGAUGAGCUUGUAGUUGCCAAAAGUCCUUUUAGAAAUAGUCCAUAGGUUAUAGUCCAAUGUUCAUAUUCAGGGUGACUCCAGUCAGUGACUGGGGAUCUCAAUCCUUAUGGCUUAGGGUUUCCCCUUCUUGAAACCCAAAGCAGAUCUGAGAUGAAGAAGGAUCACGUCCGAGGGUUUUUAUACAUUUCCAGCAGCCUUUUGGCCUGAGAAAACAAUAGGCUUAACUUUCCUUCUCCCAAACAUCAUGGCAAUUAGCACAAGUUAAUUUAUCUAUUAAACAGUUCAGAUACAGGUUACCACAACCUUCAAAGAGACAUAUAGACAAUAAUACUAUUUCAUUCAAGUGUCUUCCUAAAUGUUAAUACUCCCUUUUUGAUCCAUGAAUCAAAGCCAUAGUAAUAGACAAGAAUUGUUUGCUUACAGCACAAGACCUGAGCCCACAUCUACCCUUCUGUCUCUAACAAUGCAGGCUUGCAUUUCAAAGCUCUAUUCAUAUACAUAUCUUCCUAAAAGUUCAGACAUGGAUCAGGUCAGUCUGUGAGUUAAUUAACUCUUUCUGGCCCUGUCACCUUUCAAUAAGAUAUUAAAUUACACUUGUAACAUCACACAGGGUGAAAUAAAAUUCAAAAAGUCAUGAGCUCCCUCCAAAAUACCUGAAGGGAGGGGUAAGGAAGAGGAGCAGCUUGAAGGACAGGCAGAGCUGAUUGGUUGAACAGUUGCUGCCCACACAGGGAGGAUCCAUGCUACUUACCAAGCCUGAAAUAGCAACCAAUCAGAGAAGACCAGAAACUGAAUAUGAGGAGACAGCCAGCAGGCUGGUGGGUGGGUGUGGAGGUGAUCAGAGAGUGGAGAGCAACCAGCAGCAGCAAAAGGAGAAGAUCGAAGAGCAGAAAUAGGAGAGCAGUAGACUGAUCAGAAGAACCUAGAUGGUUCACAGGGAUUCAGAAAGAUCAAGUCAAAACUUUCCAUGAAAAACCACCAGAGACAACUGAAAACUUUAAAAACCACCUAAAGGUCAAAAAGGAACAUUACAAUAACACAGAUUUGUGAUCCUGGAAUGUAUAAACAGGAAAAUCUCAAAUAGAGGUAGAUUAUUUUACUUCUAUAUUUGGCACUGUGUGACUGUUGCUGGAAUACCAUGUCCAUUUCUGGUGCUAACAAUUCAAGAAGGAUGUCGAUAAAUUGGAGAGGAUUCGGAGAAGAACCACAAAAAUGAUGAAAGGAUUAGAAAACAUGCCUUAGUGAUAGAUUCAAGGAGCUCUAUCUAUUUAGCUUCUUAAAGAGAAGAUUAAGCUUUGACUUGAUUACAGUCCAAGUAUCUUUGUGGGGAACAAAUAUUUAAUAAUGGACUCUUCAAUCUAACAGAGAAAGAUACAACCAAGUCCAAUUGCUGGAAGUUGAAACAAGACAAAUUCAGACUGGAAAUAAGGAAUACAUUUUAUGAUGAGAGUCACUAAUCAGUGGAACAGUUUACUAAGGGUUGUUGUGGAAUCUCCAAUACUGACCAUUUUAAAAUCAAGAUUGGAUGGACUUUCUAAAAGAGAUAGUGUAAGAAUUAUUUUGGAGCAGUUUUAUGGCCUGUGUAACACAGGUUGGACCAGAAUGAUCACAGUGGUCCCUUCUGGUCUUGGAACCUAUGAAUGUUUGGAUCUUGGUUUUUGUGAAACUGGCCAGCUCUGCAACAGACUGAAUUGAAGGGGAAAACCUGCUUUAUUAGAUAAGAAAGCCACUUUAUUAGUAAGUGGUGACCCAGGUUCCUAUUUAAUGCUUUUUU